rnacentral:rRNA from 1 species
UUUCCGGUUGAUCCCGCCAGACCUGACUGCUAUCGGAUUGAUACUAAGCCAUGCGAGUCUUUGUAGUAAUACAAGGCAGACGGCUCAGUAACGCGUAGUCAACCUACCCUAUGGACGGGAAUAAUCUCGGGAAACUGAGCAUAAUACCCGGCGUACCACCAUUCCUGGAAUGGUUGGUGGUUAAAAUGAUUCGUCGCCGUAGGAUGGGACUGCGACUUAUCAGCUUGUUGGUGAGGUAAAGGCCCACCAAGGCGAUUACAGGUACGGGCUCUGAGAGGAGAAGCCCGGAGAUGGGUACUGAGACACGGACCCAGGCCCUAUGGGGCGCAGCAGGCGAGAAAACUUUGCAAUGUGCGAAAGCACGACAAGGUUAAUCCGAGUGAUUUCUGCUAAAGGAAUCUUUUGCCAGUUCUAAAAAUACUAGUGAAUAAGGGGUGGGCAAGUUCUGGUGUCAGCCGCCGCGGUAAAACCAGCACCUCAAGUGGUCAGGAGGAUUAUUGGGCCUAAAGCAUCCGUAGCCUGCUCUGUAAGUUUUCGGUUAAAUCUAUAUGCUCAACGUAUAGGCUGCCGAAAAUACUGCAGUGCUAGGAAGUGGGAGAGGUAGACGGUACUUGAUAGGAAGGGGUAAAAUCCUUUGAUCUAUCGAUGACCACCUGUGGCGAAGGCGGUCUACCAGAACACGUUCGACGGUGAGGGAUGAAAGCUGGGGGAGCAAACCGGAUUAGAUACCCGGGUAGUCCCAGCUGUAAACGAUGCAGACUAGAUGAUGCAUUGGCAUAUAGCCAGUGCAGUGUCUCAGGGAAGCCGUUAAGUCUGCCGCCUGGGAAGUACGUACGCAAGUAUGAAACUUAAAGGAAUUGGCGGGGGAGCACCACAAGGGGUGAAGCCUGCGGUUCAAUUGGAUUCAACGCCGGG